rnacentral:lncRNA from 1 species
CAUGAUCUCAGCUCACUGCAACCUCUGCCUCCUGUGUUCAAGAGAUUCUCCUGCCUCAUCCUCUCGAGCAGCAAUAUAAAAUUACAUGCCACCACAGCCAGGUUUCCUGAUUCUGAGCCAGAUAAGUGUUUGGCACACCCCUGUCAUCUAAGUUGGAGGCUUAGAGAAGUAAGCAACCGAGGCGAGUUCCAGCUGGUCCUCACAGCUCACCUUCACAGGAUCCAGUUUAUCUUUGCUUUCUUCAUUUGCAUUCCGUCUUCUCUCCCCAAGUGAGUGCUCUGUGGAUAUUAGUCUCCAGCACCAGUUGCAG